rnacentral:sRNA from 1 species
ACUUCUCCUUCUCCUUCUCCUUCUUCUUCUU